GAUGAACGCUAGCGGCAGGCUUAACACAUGCAAGUCGAGGGGUAUUGGUUUUCGGACCAAGAGACCGGCGCACGGGUGCGUAACGCGUAUGCAAUCUACCUUUUGCAGAGGGAUAGCCCCAGAGAAAUUUGGAUUAAUACCUCAUAGUAUAGUACUUUGGCAUCAAGGAACUAUUAAAGUCACAACGGCAAAAGAUGAGCAUGCGUCCCAUUAGCUAGUUGGUAAGGUAACGGCUUACCAAGGCUACGAUGGGUAGGGGUCCUGAGAGGGAGAUCCCCCCACACUGGUACUGAGACACGGACCAGACUCCUACGGGAGGCAGCAGUGAGGAAUAUUGGACAAUGGGCGCAAGCCUGAUCCAGCCAUGCCGCGUGCAGGAUGACGGUCCUAUGGAUGUAAACUGCUUUAUACAGGAAGAAACACACCCUCGUGAGGGUACGUUGUACGGUACUGUAUGAAUAAGGACCGGCUAACUCCGUGCCAGCAGCCGC
rnacentral:rRNA from 1 species